UCUUGUGAUAAGAGCUCCAUUAUUUCACGCGUAUAGAAACCAAAAUAAUCUGGUCCUAUUGGUCCUAAUUGACCAUGAUCUGUUGAGGCCAGCAAACUCUUCGAAGCUUCCGACAUAAUAAAGGGCCACAGCAAUGCACAUAACAACUGCAUUUCACCACAGAAAUAUGCAACACAAGAUAAGUGUAUAAGAACCAAAUGGUCGGUAGUGAGGAGAAGGAAACCACAAAAACUUCUAUUCCAUCUAAAAGCAAAGGGCAACAUUAGAUGGAAUGUAUGAAAAUUUAGACAGAAAGCUAAAAUGACUUGCAGCAUAAGUCAGAAGGACACUUCUACAUUAAACUAUUUUUUCACUGCCUGAAUAACAAAAAUGUAAGCAAGCCAAACACCAUUCCCAUAUACAAAAUUGUUUGGUAUUAAAGGAUACCAUCUCAAAGCAAGAUAAACAUGUUGUUUUCUGGAUACACUGCUUAUAAAAGAGCGAAAAUUUUGCAGGAGUUGGAAUAAGCAAAAGGCAAAACCCAUUUUAUAGAAAGUAAACCAUACUGCCUCAAAGGAAAUUUGCUCAAUUACUGCUUAUAUGAGAAAGUUUAAUAAGCAAAACGUAAAUAGUAAUUGGUUAGGAGAAAAUAAACCAAAAAAUCAAACAGCAGGUGCAGGUCUAAGAUUUGUAAUCCAAUACCGCAGAUGCAGCCAGAACUUCAAAAUCAAAGGAUCAAUCUCUUCUUGCAAAUAGUAAGUGUUAGAAGAUUUUGGAAGAUUUCCGAGGAUGUCUUGUAAUUAUGUAUAAUAUUUGGUUAUGUGCUAUUUUAGGUAGUUGAGAGAUUUGUGAACUGUACAGAUAUUUUGGGAAUCAGUUUUUAUUUUCUUUUAAUUAGGGAGAUUAGUUACUAGAUCUGUAUCGUAGAAGAUCUAUAAAUUCUUAUGCACAGAAGCAUAAUAAAAUAUGCCCUAUUUGUCAUAUUUUUGUUCUCUUCUUUAGUAAGCCACUUUACUACUUUGAUUAAACCACUUUUGGCAGUAAAAAAACUCAUGGUUUAAGUAGUACUUAUUCAAACUCUGUCUAUGAUCAAAUUAUGUUAUGGCAUUGACGAUUAGGGCAUCCUAGUUUUCUGUACCUCAAACAUUUGUUUCCUAAAUUGUUUAAAGGAAUUGAUUGUUCAAAACUUCAUUGUGAGGCCUGUCACUUGGCUAAAGAUCAUUGUGUUUCUUUUCCAAUAAAACCCAAUUUUGCUUCGAAACCAUUUUAUUUGAUUCAUAGCAAUGCUUAGGGCCCAUCUAAGGUUAACACACUUUCUGGCAAAGAAUGGUUUGUGACUUUUAUUGAUAACCACACAAGGGUAUGUUGGGUUUACUUAUUAUAAAGGAAAUCAGAGGUUGAAAAGAGAUUUAAAGAUUUUUUCCUGAUGAUUGAUAAUCAAUUUCAAACCAAAAUUAGCAUUCUGAGAUCGGAUAAUGCGACAGAAUAUUUUAACAAAUAUUUUUGAAUAUUUUUGACCGAAAAAGGUGUGAUCCAUCAAUCAACUUGUCACAACACACCUCAACAGAAUGGAAUUGUUGAAAGAAAAAAUAGAUAUCUUCUUGAGAUAACUAGAGCCAUCAUGUUUUCUAUGAAUGUACCUAAAUAUCUCUGGGGAAAUGCUCUCCUAACUGCUUGUUACUUGAUAAAUAGAAUGCCAUCUCGAGUUUUAAAAUAUGAAACACCUUUACAGGUUUUAAAAAAUUGUUUUCCCACAUCUCGAAUAACUAUGAAUAUUCCUUUCAAAGUGUUUGGUUGUGUUUGUUAUGUGUAUAUAUGAAAUGUUUUUCGAUCAACAUUGGAUCCAAAAACUGAAAAAUAUGUGUUUCUUAGUUAUGCAUCUAAUAAAAAAAUAGAUAUCUUCACCUAAAUGACCUUAAUGCUUCAAUCCUAUUACAAAGAAAUUUUUUGAGAGUAUGAAUGUAUACUUUGUUGAGGACCAACCCUUCUUUCAAAAAAAUUCUCUUCAGGGGGAGAACAUAAGCGAAGAAGAUAAUUUUUGGGACACUUUACCUAUUUUAGAAGAAUCUAUACCUGUGAUUAAUUCUGAUAAACAAGUUUCGGAAACCAUUGUUGAAAGAGAUAGUACUCUUAAACUAAAUUUGCCAGAUAUUACUUUAUCAGAGACAGGGGGAGAAGUACUUCAAAGAGAUCACAAUCCUCAUCUUGAGCUUCAGGUUUAUACUAGGAAGAGGUUUCACAAAUGUACUACUAUCCCAAUUGUUUCUCUAGUAGAAGCCUAAUCCAAUUUGCCGAGUGAAGGUCCUACAACUCAGAGUAAUCCUUCUUCUAUUCCUAUUUCUUCUCUAUCUAAUGAUUUGCCUAACAUUUCCUCUUUAGAUCUUGACCUUCCAUUUGCGGUAAGAAAAGGUACCCAAGUUUGCACAAAACACCCUAUUGCAAAAUACUUGUCAUAUAAAAAAUUAUCACAUACUCACAAAGCAUUUGCAUCUAGGAUUUCUAAUUUGUGUGUGCCAAGAAUUGUUCAAGAAGCAUUAGAUGACCCGAAUUGGAGAUUAGCUAUAAUGGAAGAGAUGAUUGCUCCUAAAAAAAAAAAAAUGAGUGUUUACAGUGAAGUGCAAAGCUGACGGAAGUGUGGAGAGAUAUAAAGCGAGACUCAUAGAAAAAGGAUUUACCCAAACUCCUGGUAUAGACUACUAAGAGACUUUUGCUCUUGCAGGUAAGAUUAACUCUAUUAGAAUACUUCUUUCUCUUAUAGUUAAUUUCAAUUGGCCACUACAUCAAUUCGAUGUAAAAAAUGCCUUCUUAAAUGGAGAUCUACAAGAAGAAGUAUAAAUAGACCUGCCACCCGGACUGAAAGAAAGUCUUGGAAGAGACAAAGUUUGCAGGUUAAGAAAAUCCCUAUAUGGGCUAAAGCAAUCACCAAGAGCUUGGUUUGAACGAUUUGGGAAUGUUGUAAGGAGGCAUGGCUUCUUACAAAGUCAAGCUGAUCAUACUUUGUUUUUUAAGCACUCCACCAAAGGUAAAAUAACUAUUCUGAUAGUGUAUAUUGACGAAAUUAUCAUGACUAGGGAUGAUUUGUUUGAGAUCAACAAAUUAAAGAAUAAGCUUGAGGCCAAGUUUGACAUUAAGGACUUGGGAAAACUUAGGUAUUUCCUCGGGAUGGAAUUUGCAAGGUCCAAGGAGGGAAUCUUUAUCAACCAACGCAAAUACAUUCUUGAUUUGCUUAAGGAAACAGGGAUGACAAGUUGUAAAGCUGCAGAAACUCCAACGAACCCAAAUGUAAAGCUAAAAGCAGCAAGAGCAAGUGAGGUGGUGGACGAGAACAUUAUCAAAGAUUAGUUGGAAGGCUAAUCUAUUUGUCACACACAAGACCUGAUAUAGCCUUUGCAGUAAGUGUGGUGAGUCAGUUUAUGCAUUCACCUAGACCUACUCAAUUUGAAGCUGCGUUCAAGAUUUUAAGAUGUCUAAAAGGAACUUUAAGGAAAGGACUCUUGUUAAAAAAUAGGGUCAUCUCCAAGUCAAAGCCUACACAGACGCAGAUUGGGCAGGCGACGUAACUAAUAGAAGAUCUACCUCAGGUUAUUGCACUUUGGUAGGAGGGAAUUUAGUCACCUGGAAGAGCAAAAAGCAGAGUGUUGUGGCUAGCUGUAGUGCAAAAGCAGAAUUCCGCUCUGUUGCACAUGGCUUCUGUGAAGUGUUAUGGAUCAAGAGACUCCUAGAAGAGUUGAAAUUCCUACAGUGUUAUGGAUCAAGAGACUCCUAGAAGAGUUGAAAUUCCUACACCAACACCUAUUAAGGUCUAUUGUGAUUACAAGGCAAGUAUUUCCAUAGCUCACAAUCCAAUUCUACACGACAGAACAAAGCAUGUAGAAGUGGAAAAACAUUUCAUCAAGGAGAAGAUAGACAGUGGUGUGAUAUGCAUGUCCUACAUAUCUACCGCGAGCCAAGUAGCAAACAUACUCACACAAGGACUUCUUAGGGCGCAAUAUGAGAACUUAGUUAGUAAGCUUGCCAUGAGUGAUAUAUUCAUGCUAGCUUGAGGGGGAGUGUUGGAAGAUUUUGGAAGAUUUCCUAGGAUUUCUUUUAAUAAUGUAUAAUAUUUGUUUAUGUGCUAUUUUAGGUAGUUGAGAGAUUUGUGAACUGUACAGAUUUUUGGGAAUCAGUUUUUAUUUUUUUUUUAAUUAGGGAGAUUAGUUAUUCGAUUUAUAUCCUAGAAGAUCUAUAAAUUCUUAUGUACAGAAGCAUAAUAAAAUAUACCUAUUUGUCAUAUUUUUGUUUUCUUCUUUAGUAAGCAUGAGAUUAUGACUGACCACGGAAGGAACAUAUUCUUCCAGACUUCUAGCAUGAAAGGGAUCUUUUCUCAAAGCUUCUAAUUUGAGAAUAGUAUCAAAAAUUAUGAUACAAAGUACAUAAUAUCAAGUUGGUUGAAACAAAUUAUUACUAAGCAUAACAUAACUAAGAAGGUACAAAAUUUUCAACUUCAAAUCUGGCAAACUUUACAACAAGACAACAGCAAAUUGUUGAUCAACAUAAAUAGACCAAAAAAUAUAAAAAAAAUUAAACAGACUGCUAUUUCAAGUGAGACCUUAUGAAAACUUAAAACAUAAGAUAGGGACCUUUAGAAAUUUUGAGAAAAAUUGAUGACAACUUAUUCUUAUACCCCUCUAGAUGGCAUGAUAUUUCCUUUUAGGAGUUAUUUUUUUGAGUAGGAUUCUCUUUUUUGGAGUUCCUUCAAGACUUGGGAUCUUUUUAUUUUUCUUUUAGAUUUUCAUUAAGAACAAAGGAUUUGCUAUUAUCCAAACCUAGAGUUCAAAUCUAAGAUAAAACGACCAUACAAACUUUUUCAUAAGAACAGAAAAGAGGCUGAUUUCUCAUAAACUGUGACUCUGUAACCAUAGUUGGGUGAAGAAGUCCCCAUCCGUGGCAGGUGAAGGAUCUACUUCCAAAUUCCAAUCUUAGCCAAAUGGGCAAUGAAACAACAAACAUGUAAUGCCAAAUCAGAUAUCAUAUCAAUUUGUAUGAAACAAAAGUUAACAAAUCUGUAAGAGAUUUAUUAGUCUUUCAAUCUAAACCAAAGUUUUACAUGAUUUAGCAUUUAUAUAACUGUUUAGGUUUUACUCCCUACAGAAAAUGUAUAAUCUCACAACUUGAACUCAAAGCUUGUAAUAAUGCUCUCUAGUUCUUUUUCUUUUUCCCUGUUGGAAAUAUUUUUUUUGUACGAAUCAGAGAGGGUAAAUAUCUAGCCUUGUCUUCCACAUUAUCUGGUGGAAGGAAAAGAUGGAAAACCGGAUAACAUCUCACACAAUGUAGGGUCCUAAUAUUGAGGUGCACUAGCAGAAGCCAAAUAGUAGGGUACUGGAAACAGAAAAAAGGAAUAGUACAACACCUUGUCCAACGUUGAAAUAUGUUCAGUUCUUGACAACCUACUAGGUAUUGUUCUAACGGACAUCGGUCCAAAUUAACAGGCAAAUAAAAAGUGAGAAUAGAUGACGCUUUAGUCCAAAUGACUCAUAAACACAAGGUUUAGAUAAAUAGCCCCACAUGGCAAAUACAGGAUAUGAUUUUAUUAUUCAAAGCUAUAUCAAAAAUAUUAAUGAGAUUAUAAUCCUAUUUAUAGUAGACUAAUUGGAACACUAACCAAAUAACCUAAAAGCUCCUCAGAAAGCAAGAAUGGAGUUGGCAGUGAUCUAUCAAAAAAUGAAAAGUGUGAAUCGAACACCCACUCAUAUAGCUUUUACCUUACUACAAGGAUGGUGCCAUACACUGAGCUGGCUCUUAAGGGUCUGCUAAAAGUUAGGAACCCCUUUCUUCAAAAUAUGUUAGAAGGUACCACUCCUUUCAUUAGGCAUGUUCUACCAUGUCCAUUUUGUGCACAAAAUAGACAAACAACCUAUCCAGUCUCUAGGAACUCUUGCUCAGGCUUGCCCCCUCUGGACAAUCCCUUCAUUAUUCCACUCCAAUUAAUAAGCACUGAAGUUUAAUGCUAACGCAGCACCUUUACGAACUCCAUACAAGAUUAAAGGGUUUAAUUCCCAGUUUGUUUUCUGAAAACAGAGCGCUUACAAUUAACUUUCACACUAAACCCUUUACUCUAUUAGUUGCCAAGAAAAUCAAGAAAAGCCCAAGAAUGAACUCAAGAAAUGCCGUACAACUACUGAAGAACCUAAUUGUUAAUACUAACAAUUUGUUCUCUUUAGCAGCCUAAUACAACAAAUAAAUAGAACAUUCAAAAUUCAAAUUGAGUUGCGAUUUUCCUCGACUUUUUACAGUCCAUAAGUUCAUAGAAUUCAAUAACCGAAAACAAAUAAACGUAAAAGUAUUAACCCGUCAUUCAAAAAAUCAACAAGAGAGAAAGAAAUUACGUGAACGGCGACGUCACGGUGAAUCAAAGCGGCGAGUUUGCGGUGUCGUGCGUAAAAAUGUGUCACGAAAAAUACAGAUUUCAGUAUAUCUUUUUUUUUUUAA
rnacentral:lncRNA from 1 species